UCAGCGAAAAAGGAGAUCGAGCAGAGAAGAUAGAUGAGACGUUAGGGAAGACCGCGUUUGUUACACAGUGAAGAACAGAAUGGGUAGUGAAGAUAGGGAUUUCUGGAAAAAUGAUAUAAGUGGCGUAUAUAAGGACUUUUAUUGUUAUGGUUGUAAAGCUGGUACAAGUGGAGACAAAUUCAUGGCUAUGAUAAAGAGAAGAUUGGUAAAUGAACAAGACUGAUUUCAACAUUAUACAUCCACACAGAUUGAGAGAUAAGGGAAUACCUUGUGUCAAAAGAAAGAAGUCUUGGUAUGAGAAGAACAAGCCACGAAAAAGAGUAACAAAGUGCAGUGUAUGUAAAGGUCUUGAUCAUAACAUCCUUACCUGUCAAGGUCCUCCAGUUGGUUCUAAUCCAAAGAAGAAAAAUUUAGAAUGGAGUGUUCUGUUAAUGGAGAUGAGUUUUGUAUUACUGCUGCACCAACAAAAAAGAUGAGGAAGGUCUUGUCUUCACCAACUACUGCAACAACAUCUGCAUCGAAGAAAUCUGUUGAUGUACCACCAUUGUCAAAGGGCAAGGCAA